rnacentral:lncRNA from 1 species
UCUUGAUCACGAGCGUUGGCGCUGGGAAAUCGUACGAAACGGGAUUGUAUCAAUGAGGUUCUACUGUAACACACCCAGGGCCCUAACUGAAAAU